GCAGUGAAGGCAGACCGGAAGGACUGCUGGAGCGUGCGGAAGUGCGAAUGUCGGCAUGAGUAGCGAAAUGUGAGUGGGAAUCUCACACACCGUAUGGCCAAGGUUUCCUGAGCAAGGCUCGUCCUCUCAGGGUUAGUCGGUCCUAAGUCGAGGGCGAACGCCGUAGACGAUGGACAUCUGGUUGAUAUUCCAGAACCACCAAAGACCGUUUGCACCGCAAGGUGUCGUCGGGCCGAGGCGGAGGGUGGCUCUCUGACGCAAGUCAGGGGGUACUCCGAGCCGGAGUUCGAUGGGAGCAAGGGCAUGACGGGGUCUGGUAGUUCGAGCGUGCUAUGGAAUGCACGUCCAAGCUCGUAGGGGGUGGGACUAGGUAAAUCCGGUCCCGCAUUCAACUCUGAAAAGCGAUGGGAAGGGGUGUAUGCCCUGACUCGAGCAAGCCAAGCCUCCAAGAAAAGUGUCUAGCGAGGUCCUAGGUGACCGUACCGCAAACCGACACAGGUGGCCGGGUAGAGAAUACCAAGGUGAUCGGGAGAACCCUCGUUAAGGAACUCGGCAAAAUAACCCCGUAACUUCGGGAGAAGGGGUGCUCACAGGUGCAGCUUGCUGUGCUUGUGAGCCGCAGUGAAAUGGCCCAGGCGACUGUUUAACAAAAACACAGGUCUCCGCUAAAGCGCAAGCUGAUGUAUGGGGGCUGACGCCUGCCCAGUGCUGGAAGGUUAAGAGGAGGGGUGCAAGCUCUGAAUCGAAGCCCCAGUGAACGGCGGCUGUAACUAUAACAGUCCUAAGGUAGCGAAAUUCCUUGUCGGGUAAGUUCCGACCCGCACGAAUGGCGUAACGAUCUGGGCACUGUCUCAACGAGGGAUCCGGCGAAAUUGAAAUACCAGUGAAGAUGCUGGUUACGCGCGCUGGGGCAAAAAGACCCCGUGGAGCUUUACUACACCCUGAUAUUGAAUUGAGGCUCGACCUGUGUAGGAUAGGUGGGAGGCUUUGAAGCUGGGGCGUUAGCCUCGGUGGAGCCGUCGUUGAAAUACCACCCUUGUUGUGUUUCGUUUCUAACCCCGUGCCGUUAUCCGGCCGGGGAACAGUGUCAGGCGGGUAGUUUGACUGGGGCGGUCGCCUCCUAAAGAGUAACGGAGGCGCCCAAAGGUCCUCUCAGGCUGGAUGGAAAUCAGCCAUAGAGUGCAAAGGCAUAAGAGGGCUUGACUGCGAGACCUACAAGUCGAGCAGGUGCGAAAGCAGGGCUUAGUGAUCUGAUAACUCCGAGUGGAAGGGUUAUCACUCAACGGAUAAAAGCUACCCCGGGGAUAACAGGCUGAUGGUGCCCAAGAGUUCAUAUCGACGGCACCGUUUGGCACCUCGAUGUCGGCUCGUCGCAUCCUGGGGCGGAAGUACGUCCCAAGGGUUUGGCUGUUCGCCAAUUAAAGCGGUACGUGAGCUGGGUUCAGAACGUCGUGAGACAGUUCGGUCUCUAUCCAGCGUGGGCGAAGGGAACUUGAAAGGAGCUGCUCCUAGUACGAGAGGACCGGAGUGGACGAGCCUAUGGUGUGCCUGUUGUCCUUCCAAGGGCAUUGCAGGGUAGCUAAGCUCGGCAGGGAUAAGCGCUGAAAGCAUAUAAGCGCGAAGCUCGCCUUAAGAUGAGGUUCCCCACCGGGUUAACCGGGUAAGACCGCAGGGAGACUACCUGCUUGAUAGGGCGCAUGUGGAAGGCCAGUGAUGGCUGCAGCAAAGCGCUACUAAUGGUCGAGGGCUUGACCU
rnacentral:rRNA from 1 species